rnacentral:rRNA from 1 species
AUCUGGAGGAAUACCGAUGGCGAAGGCAGCCAUCUGGCCUAAUACUGACGCUGAGGUACGAAAGCAUGGGGAGCAAACAGGAUUAGAUACCCUGGUAGUCCAUGCCGUAAACGAUGUCUACUAGCCGUUGGGGCCUUUGAGGCUUUAGUGGCGCAGCUAACGCGAUAAGUAGACCGCCUGGGGAGUACGGUCGCAAGACUAAAACUCAAAUGAAUUGACGGGGGCCCGCACAAGCGGUGGAGCAUGUGGUUUAAUUCGAUGCAACGCGAAGAACCUUACCUGGCCUUGACAUACUAGAAACUUUCCAGAGAUGGAUUGGUGCCUUCGGGAAUCUAGAUACAGGUGCUGCAUGGCUGUCGUCAGCUCGUGUCGUGAGAUGUUGGGUUAAGUCCCGCAACGAGCGCAACCCUUUUCCUUACUUGCCAGCAUUUCGGAUGGGAACUUUAAGGAUACUGCCAGUGACAAACUGGAGGAAGGCGGGGACGACGUCAAGUCAUCAUGGCCCUUACGGCCAGGGCUACACACGUGCUACAAUGGUCGGUACAAAGGGUUGCUACCUAGCGAUAGGAUGCUAAUCUCAAAAAGCCGAUCGUAGUCCGGAUUGGAGUCUGCAACUCGACUCCAUGAGGUCGGAAUCGCUAGUAAUCGCGGAUCAGAAUGCCGCGGUGAAUACGUUCCCGGGCCUUGUACACACCGCCCGUCACACCAUGGGAGUUUGUUGCACCAGAAGUAGGUAGUCUAACCGCAAGGAGGACGCUUACCA